CGGGGGGAGCAAGCGUUGUUCGGAUUUACUGGGCGUAAAGGGCGCGUAGGCGGCCAGCACAAGUCAGUUGUGAAAUCUCCGGGCUUAACUCGGAACGGUCAACUGAUACUGUGCGGCUAGAGUGCAGAAGGGGCAACUGGAAUUCUCGGUGUAGCGGUGAAAUGCGUAGAUAUCGAGAGGAACACCUGCGGCGAAGGCGGGUUGCUGGGCUGACACUGACGCUGAUGCGCGAAAGCCAGGGGAGCGAACGGGAUUAGAUACCCCGGUAGUCCUGGCCUUAAACGAUGGAUGCUUGGUGUCUGGAGUUUUAUAGUCUCCGGGUGCCGUAGCUAACGCGUUAAGCAUCCCGCCUGGGGAGUACGGUCGCAAGACUG
rnacentral:rRNA from 1 species